rnacentral:pre_miRNA from 1 species
AGGGGAGUGCCUGGGAAGCUGUUCCUUUUGGCCGACUACUUCCUGGUGCCUCGCCCCAC